CAGUAUAUAAAUAUAUGUCUUGGUAAAUCACAUUGUGAGCAUGUAUCUCGGUACGUCAUUCAGGCACAUUCAAAUUUGGCCUUGUGUGAAUCAUUUUCUUUGAACAUAAAGUAUUUUUGAGUUGUGGAAAACCUUGCAUCUAUUUGUAUUUUCUAGAGAACUGUAGAUCUUUCUUUGAAACCAAACAAUGUGUUGUGUGUUAGCACAUGUUUAUUUAAGGGAAAUACCUCAUUUCUUACAGAGUAUAUUUGCCUUAAGGUCUACGUUGACUCAAUUGAUGACAUGUAGUAGAUUUUUUCAUAAGAAAACAAGGAUCAAAAGUGUUUGUCAGAUGUAGGCUAUUACUCUCCUUUUCUGCAUACAAAGCUACUAAUGUCAUGACCUUCAACCUCUUUAUGUUGCUCCUCCUUUACAUUUUGCUGAUCUAUUAACUUGAUUUUAUAUACAGUAAGUUACUUAUCUCGUUUCUUUGGUUUUGUAGAUUGUCAAGAUAAAAUGGAUAAUGCAUGGCUUGGAUGCUGAUUGCAAGGAUGAGAAUGGUGCUACAACAGGAUAAUUAGAAUGUCAUUUUCAGGAUGAUGUUUGAAACAUUAUAGUUGAUUGCAAGGUCUAGAAUUUGGCUACUACUUGAUAGUUUCACAUCUUGUAAUCUCUGGAUCCUGUUCUUUGUAAUGCAACAUAGUUGAUUUAAUAUAUGAGACCUUCCAGUUUAUUAUAUUGUGUCUCCUAUACAAUAGAUAUAUUGACCUUG
rnacentral:lncRNA from 1 species